AUGUUAGUUCAAGGUAAAGUAAACUUUUACAUAAAAUGAAGUCAAAUUUGUUAAGUCGUACUUAAACACAUUGGGUUUUUUUGUUAAGUCGUUCUUGAAAUGGUUAAGGGUUUUUGGUUAAGUCGUACUUAAAAACAUUCGGAUCAUGUUAAGUUGUACCAAGAAUCAUUCGAUUUUUUUUUUAUCUUUUUGUACUUAGGUUUCUUUGUUACUAGAUUAAGAACUCUGCUUCUUAGACGUACUUCUAGCGUUGCUUUCGACAUUAGCGGAAAACCCACUCGUUGCUUUGCAACGAGCUUUGCUCUAGUUAUUAUUUUUUUUUUUUAUCCGCAAAUUUUGUGUAGGCCAUUUCUCGUACAUUUGUUGUCUGAUUGUUAUGAAACUUUCAGGGUAUGUAGACAAUGUUAAUAUCUCGAGACGUUUUUUUUAAAUUUUUAAAAUUCACUUCCGGUUAUGAGUUAUUGCCCUUUAAUUGAAAAUUGGGGGGUCUUUUGUCCAGAGUUGAUCUCGGGAACUACAAAAGAUAGUUGCAUGAAAUUUAGCAGAAUUGUUGGUAACAUUUUAUAGUUUUGCUGGCAUGAAAAGUUUGGCAAAAUGGUUUUUAGUUUUUAAGCUAUUUGCCGGUAAAGUAUAAGGUUUUGGGGGGUCUGAAAUUUUGUUGUUCUUUGUAUAAUAACCUUUAAACUAAAAAUAUUUUGUUAAUACAUAUAGAGCAAAAGUUGUUUAGAAUAACGAGAGCUUUCAUUUAAAAUUAAGAAAAAAGGGCUGGCCCCUAUAAUUAGGGGUCAGCAGCUCAUACACGUAUUUUUCUGAUAGCAAAAAUCGUUAUCAUUUUAUGAAAAAAAAUUAAUUCAGUUAUUGUUAAUAUAUUAGAUAAUGUCAUUUGGUGUCAAAUUUAAAAAGUUCUGUGCCCUAUUUUUUUCAAAUUUCAUAAAACAAAUAUGUGUGAAUCGUACAUGAACGAGUUAAUUUGUCUACAUAGACACACAAGCGAACAAAUGCCGUUUUAAGGCCCAGGCAUUUACUGCAUUACAUUGUGUUGCGUCUUAGAUAAAUUGUUGUGAUUCAAUUUCAUUUUUUUUUCAUCUAGGCUAUAUCAUUUAUGAAUUCAACUACUUAUUUAACACGUUCUAAUCGGCCACGCAGAACAAAUGUUUGCAAUGUUUGUCGCGGACCCGCGAAUGUAAACAGUAACGAACGGCAUUGUAGAAAAGAGAGAGCGUAAUGCAGAAGAUAAGUUGUGCAUUUUUCGGUGUACACAUGCAUUUUCAAGUUACUGUGAAACAUAUGAACAUGCACAGGGAACAAUACUACAUAUUUGUAUAAGGAGGGAUAUAUUCUCGUGUGAAUCGUUUACGAGGAAAUUCUGACAGCCACACUUCUGUCGACCAUGUCGACGGAUGUGUAUGUUUCCAUUGAUCAGCCGUUGAUAAGCUACGAGUAAUAAAGGGGAAAAGAUGGACAUUAAAGUGUGUGAUCUAUUUGGAUGUUACUGAAGAAGCUCAAAACAGCCUCUUGUUACCACAUGGCUUUUACCGGUACCUGUUGAUUCUUGUGGGUCAGCUCCUGAGAUUAACCUGUCACCUCUAUCCACAUGCAUAUUCCUUGUGUUCUACAGACUAUUUACCGGUAAUUCAAAUUAAAUCUGAUAAUGCAUGAACAAUAAUGGAACUUGAAGAAAGCAUCAUGCCAUGUUGUGGUUUGUGUUUGAUAAGAAAUUAUGAAAACAAAAUUAAGGCUGUUUAAAGAAAUUCAUAAUUGCUGUGAAAAUUUGUUUUUCAAUAAAAGUAUGCAAUUAUG